UUUGUGCUCUCGGUUCUUUACCAGCAUCUAACUUUUCAGAAUUUCCAAACGGUAAACUCUCUGCUUUUAUGUAAUUUUUCCAUAAUUUUGAUCAUCCCAUUUAUCAAUUUUAUUUUUCCCUUUUCGCCGAUUUUGUGCAGCAAAAACAUUCAGAAUAUUCUUGAACCAAAUCCAAUUCCCAUAUUUCCAAAUCCAAAGAAUGCAUCUACCCUUUUUUUUCAAAGAUCUGAAUAUAUUUAUCAAAAACUUCUUCAUAAGAAAUCGUAUAAAAUCUAACUCCACAGUUUACUCAAGAGGAAGAGAAAUAGAAUUAGAAAGAGAUGGGAUAUUGGGGAGAGCAACUGUUGUCGGAAGAGGGAAGCAGGAAGCGGCGGCGGCGUGCCAACCGCUGCUGCCUGGCACGGUGGCGGCUACGGCAGCCGUUUCUGCCGGCCGGAGAAAGAAGAGGGCGCCGGAUCUGGAAGAAGAGGCGGCAGCUUCGGCCUCGCCGAUGGCUGUUUGGCUAAGGAAAAGAAAGAAGUAAGGGGGCAGCGCCGGGCUGGAGGAGAUGGCGUCGGGUGUAGCGGCGGCUACGGCUGGCUGCUCGCCGGAGUAUGGGGCGGCGUCGGUGCUCUUCGUCAAGGGCUGUCUGGCCGAGAGAGAGAGAGAAGUCGAGGGAGAGAGGGAGGCUGAGAAAGAGAGGGGUCAGGGAGAGAGAGAGAGAGAGAGGUCGGGGGAAAGAGAGGGGUUGCUGGGCGGCGCCGGGAAGGUUGAGAGAGGAGAGAGGGUGAGCUAGGUUGUGUGCGUCAGUGCGUGUGUGUGUGCUGAUUUAAGGAGAGUGAGUGAGAUGAGAUUUAGAGGGUGUAUUCGAUCAGGAUUUUAAUAGAUUUCUACAGAUUUUUAAAAUCUUGGUGUAUUCGAUCAAAACUUUUAAAAGUCUAUGAAAAUCUAUAGGUAUUCGUUCGAGACUUUU
rnacentral:lncRNA from 1 species